GACGAACGCUGGCGGCGUGCUUAACACAUGCAAGUCGAACGGAAAGGCCCUGCGUUUGUGGUGUUCUCGAUUGGCGAACGGGUGAGUAACACGUGAGUAACCUGCCCUUGACUUUGGGAUAACUUCAGGAAACUGGGGCUAAUACCGGGUAGAAUCUCCUGCUGCAUGGUGUGGGUUGGAAAGUUUCGGCGGUUGGGGAUGGACUCGCGGGUUAUCAGCUUGUUGGUGGGGUAGUGGCGUACCAAGGCUUUGACGGGUAGCCGGCCUGAGAGGGUGAACGGCCACAUUGGGACUGAGAGACGGACCAGAAUGCUACGGGAGGCAGUAGUGGGGAAUCUUGCACAAUGGGGGGAAGCCUGAUGCAGCAACGCCGCGUGCGGGAUGACGGCUUUCGGGUUGUAAACAGAUUUGGCAUGUGCUGAAGCGUGCGUGACGGUAAUGGGUCAAGAAGCCACGGCUAACUACGUG
rnacentral:rRNA from 1 species